GAUGAACGCUGGCGGCGUGCCUAAUACAUGCAAGUCGAGCGAACAGAUAAGGAGCUUGCUCCUUUGACGUUAGCGGCGGACGGGUGAGUAACACGUGGGUAACCUACCUAUAAGACUGGAAUAACUCCGGGAAACCGGGGCUAAUGCCGGAUAACAUUUAGAACCGCAUGGUUCUAAAGUGAAAGAUGGUUUUGCUAUCACUUAUAGAUGGACCCGCGCCGUAUUAGCUAGUUGGUAAGGUAACGGCUUACCAAGGCAACGAUACGUAGCCGACCUGAGAGGGUGAUCGGCCACACGGGAACUGAGACACGGUCCAGACUCCUACGGGAGGCAGCAGUAGGGAAUCUUCCGCAAUGGGCGAAAGCCUGACGGAGCAACGCCGCGUGAGUGAUGAAGGUCUUCGGAUCGGAAAACUCUGUUAUUAGGGAAGAACAAAUGUGUAAGUAACUGUGCACGUCUUGACGGUACCUAAUCAGAAAGCCACGGCUAACUACGUG
rnacentral:rRNA from 1 species